UAGUAUAAUUGGAAGUACGGGGAGUUUUGGGCUCUUAAGUACAGGUUCAGGGCCUGUUUUUCUA
rnacentral:tRNA from 1 species